rnacentral:rRNA from 1 species
UGGGGAAUAUUGCACAAUGGGCGAAAGCCUGAUGCAGCAACGCCGCGUGAGUGAUGAAGGUCUUCGGAUUGUAAAGCUCUGUCUUUUGGGACGAUAAUGACGGUACCAAAGGAGGAAGCCACGGCUAACUACGUGCCAGCAGCCGCGGUAAUACGUAGGUGGCGAGCGUUGUCCGGAUUUACUGGGCGUAAAGGGUGCGUAGGCGGAUGUUUAAGUGAGAUGUGAAAUACCCGGGCUUAACUUGGAUGCUGCAUUUCAAACUGGAUAUCUAGAGUGCAGGAGAGGAGAAUGGAAUUCCUAGUGUAGCGGUGAAAUGCGUAGAGAUUAGGAAGAACACCAGUGGCGAAGGCGAUUCUCUGGACUGUAACUGACGCUGAGGCACGAAAGCGUGGGUAGCAAACAGGAUUAGAUACCCUGGUAGUCCACGCCGUAAACGAUGAGUACUAGGUGUAGGAGGUAUCGACCCCUUCUGUGCCGCAGUAAACACAUUAAGUACUCCGCCUGGGAAGCACGAUCGCAAGAUUAAAACUCUAAAGUGAAUUGACGGGGUC